UCAUUGUACACAGCCAUUCGUGGUCCUGAGUCUAACAGGAUACAUACGUGACUUUUUAUGGAUCACUCGGAAGAAAGCAACCAUCUUACCAUCCAUGAAGACUGAAGUUAAGACGUGUGAG
rnacentral:lncRNA from 1 species